UUAUGGCUCAGGAUGAACGCUAGCUACAGGCUAACACAUGCAAGUCGGAGGGGCAGCAUUGGAGUAGCAAUACUUCAGAUGGCGACCGGCGCACGGGUGAGGUAACACGUAUCCAACCUGCCGCUUACUCGGGGAUAGCCUUUCGAAAGAAAGAUUAAUACCCGAUGGUAUAAAGAGUUCGCAUGUUCUCUUUAUUAAAGAAUUUCGGUAAGCGAUGGGGAUGCGUUCCAUUAGAUUGUUGGCGGGGUAACGGCCCACCAAGUCUACGAUGGAUAGGGGUUCUGAGAGGAAGGUCCCCCACAUUGGAACUGAGACACGGUCCAAACUCCUACGGGAGGCAGCAGUGAGGAAUAUUGGUCAAUGGACGAGAGUCUGAACCAGCCAAGUAGCGUGAAGGAUGACUGCCCUAUGGGUUGUAAACUUCUUUUAUAAGGGAAUAAAGUGAGGGACGUGUCCCUUUUUGUAUGUACCUUAUGAAUAAGGAUCGGCUAACUCCGUGCCAGCCGCAGC
rnacentral:rRNA from 1 species